CCUUUAUUGUCUGUGGCCAGGCUCUACUAGCAUGCCACCCCAUCUCCUUCCCAGCUUCCUUCAGCCCCCGCGCCUCACUUUCUCCUGCUCUACUAUUGUCUUUGACUGAAGGGAGGACCACGUGUCCGCUUCUCCAGGAGCAGCUUCUGCUCGGCCCAGGCUGCUGAGAUGGGCACCCUGAUUCUUCAAUGAUCUUUCAACUUGGUACUCUCCUAAGACAGAAAACGAUGUCUUAUUUUGCAUCAGAAGUAAAGCUGAGCCCGACGUCCGGAGGUAUAGGUGCUCCUAGGUACUUACAGAACUAAACUGAAAUCCAAACAGAAGCCAAGACUCCUUCCAUCUCAGAAUACCUCCCACGGUGUCCUGCCUAUCUUAGGCAAAGCCAGCAGACUGGUGUCUUUCUCCCCUUUGACUAGGAAGUGGGUCGAAGGCAGUGUGGGCCUUGAGUGC